AACCUUUACACUGCACGACAGUGCGAUAAGGGAAUCCCAAGUGCGUAGGCAUAGAGCCUACGCUUUUGUCCACCGUAGGGAGGUGGACGAAUAGGGGCUGGGCAAGACCGGUGCCAGCCGCCGCGGUAAUACCGGCAGCCCGAGUGAUGGCCGAUCUUAUUGGGCCUAAAGCGUCCGUAGCUGGCCGCGCAAGUCUAUCGGAAAAUCCACCCGCUCAACGGGUGGGCGUCCGGUAGAAACUGCGUGGCUUGGGACCGGAAGGCGCGACGGGUACGUCCGGGGUAGGAGUGAAAUCCCGUAAUCCUGGACGGACCGCCGAUGGCGAAAGCACGUCGCGAAGACGGAUCCGACAGUGAGGGACGAAAGCUAGGGUCUCGAACCGGAUUACAUACCCGGGUAGUCCUAGCCGUAAACAAUGCCUGCUAGGUGUGGCUCCCACUACGAGUGGGUGCUGUGCCGUAGGGAAGCCGCUAAGCAGGCCGCCUGGGAAGUACGUCCGCAAGGAUGAAACUUAA
rnacentral:rRNA from 1 species